rnacentral:tRNA from 1 species
GGGGAUGUGGCUCAAACGGUAGCGCUCUCACUUGGCAUGUGUGCGGCCUGGGUUCGAUCCUCAGCACCACA